rnacentral:tRNA from 1 species
GGACCUUUAGCUCAGCUGGUUAGAGCAGUCGGCUCAUAACCGAUAGGUCCCGGGUUCGAGUCCCUGAAGGUCCACGA